rnacentral:rRNA from 1 species
GCUUACAGCCAUACCACCCUGAGCGCGCCCGAUCUCGUCUGAUCUCGGAAGCUAAGCAGGGUCGGGCCUGGUUAGUACUUGGAUGGGAGACCGCCUGGGAAUACCAGGUGCUGUAAGCUUUA